UCUGUUUCAACUCCGUUUUACAUAGUUGGAUUUGUAAAGCUAAUAAAUUAUUUAUUCCAGGAUCUGUAGCUCCAAAUCCGUCAUCGCUCCCAGUACCCUUUGAAGUAUCACUCCAACACCUAAUGGCUAAUCUUCUACUUCUACUAAGAACACAAUGGUCUGCUGCUUUCCCACUUGCCAAUGAGAUCAAGAACACACCUCAGUGUGGCUGGUUGUCACAGCCAGGGGUGCACUGUGUACGGACAGAGGGACUGGUGGAGUACAGGAGCACCUCAAGAAUCCUCAGACCAUGA
rnacentral:lncRNA from 1 species